CAGCAGCCGCGGGAAUACGAGGGGGGCAAGCGUUGCUCGGAAUUAUUGGGCGUAAAGGGUGCGUAGGCGGCUUGACAAGUCUUGUGUGAAAUCUAUGGGCUCAACCCAUAGUCUGCACGGGAAACUGUCGGGCUUGAGAAUGGGAGAGGUGAGUGGAAUUUCCGGUGUAGCGGUGAAAUGCGUAGAUAUCGGAAGGAACACCUGUGGCGAAAGCGGCUCACUGGACCAUUUCUGACGCUGAUGCACGAAAGCUAGGGGAGCAAACAGGAUUAGAUACCCCAGUAGUCCCUGUCUCUUAUAC
rnacentral:rRNA from 1 species